rnacentral:misc_RNA from 1 species
GAAAUGCGAUAAGUAAUGUGAAUUGCAGAAUUCAGUGAAUCAUCGAAUCUUUGAACGCACCUUGCGCUCCUUGGUAUUCCUUGGAGCAUGCCUGUUUGAGUAUCAUUAAAUCUUCAAAGUAAAUCUUUUGUUAACUCAAUUGGUUUCUACUUUGGUAUUGGAGGUCUUUGCAGCUUCACACCUGCUCCUCUUUGUUCAUUAGCUGGAUCUCAGUGUUAUGCUUGGUUCCACUCGGCGUGAUAAGUUAUCUAUCGCUGAGGACACUGUAAAAGGUGGCCAAGGUAAAUGCAGAUGAACCGCUUCUAAUAGUCCAUUGACUUGGACAAUACUUUUAUGAUCUGAUCUCAAAUCAGGUAGGGCUACCCGCUGAACUUAAGC